rnacentral:rRNA from 1 species
ACGACGCUGGCGGCGUGCUUAACACAUGCAAGUCGAACGAGAGGACAAGAGAAGCUUGCUUCUUUUGGAAUCGAGUGGCAAACGGGUGAGUAACACGUAAACAACCUGCCUUCAGGAUGGGGACAACAGACGGAAACGACUGCUAAUACCGAAUACGCUUGGGAGACCGCAUGAUCUUCCAAGGAAAGGGUGGCCUCUACUUGUAAGCUAUCGCCUGAAGAGGGGUUUGCGUCUGAUUAGGCAGUUGGUGAGGUAACGGCCCACCAAACCUACGAUCAGUAGCCGGUCUGAGAGGAUGAACGGCCACACUGGAACUGAGACACGGUCCAGACUCCUACGGGAGGCAGCAGUGGGGAAUCUUCCGCAAUGGGCGAAAGCCUGACGGAGCAACGCCGCGUGAGUGAUGACGGCCUUCGGGUUGUAAAGCUCUGUGAUCGGGGACGAACGGUCCGUAAGCCAAUACCUUAUGGAAGUGACGGUACCCGAAUAGCAAGCCACGGCUAACUACGUG